AAACAGACUGAAAGUCUGACGGAAACCUGCACACACGAAACUUUGUUUAGUUUUGAGGGGAUCACCCUCAAGCACCCUAGCGGGUGCGACUUUGUUCUUUGAAAACUGGAUAUCAUUGUAUUAAUUGUUUUAAAUUGCCGAGAACACAGCGUAUUUGUAUGAGUUUCUGAAAAAGAAAUUCGCAUCGCAUAACCGCUGACGCAAGUCAGUACAGGUUAAGUUACAAAGGGCGCA
rnacentral:misc_RNA from 1 species